rfam:Variovorax sp. WDL1 contig_94, whole genome shotgun sequence.
CACAUGCCCAGGCAGUCGAGACCUUCGAGGCUGCAAGCGCGGGAAACCGUGCUGGUCGUUUCUUCCUACGGACGUACCGCGUCCAUCCACGCCACCCACAAGGGACCUCUCCCUUGCGGGC